AUUGAACGCUGGCGGCAGGCCUAACACAUGCAAGUCGAACGGUAACAGGAAGAAGCUUGCUUCUUUGCUGACGAGUGGCGGACGGGUGAGUAAUGUCUGGGAAACUGCCUGAUGGAGGGGGAUAACUACUGGAAACGGUAGCUAAUACCGCAUAACGUCGCAAGACCAAAGAGGGGGACCUUCGGGCCUCUUGCCAUCGGAUGUGCCCAGAUGGGAUUAGCUAGUAGGUGGGGUAACGGCUCACCUAGGCGACGAUCCGUAGCUGGUCUGAGAGGAUGACCAGCCACACUGGAACUGAGACACGGUCCAGACUCCUACGGGAGGCAGCAGUGGGGAAUAUUGCACAGUGGGCGCAAGCCUGAUGCAGCCAUGCCGCGUGUAUGAAGAAGGCCUUCGGGUUGUAAAGUACUUUCAGCGGGGAGGAAGGGAGUAAAGUUAAUACCUUGGCUGAUUGACGUUACCCGCAGAAGAAGCACCGGCUAACUCCGUG
rnacentral:rRNA from 1 species